GGGAUCUUAAAGGUCAUGGAAGCAUGUAAUCCUAGAAUGGGUUGGAUUGGAAGGGAUCUUAGAGGUCAUAGAAGCAUGGAAUCCUGUAUGGGUUGGGUUGGAAGGGAUCUUAAAGGUCAUAGAAUGAUGGAAUCCUGUAUGGGUUGGGUUGGUAGGGAUCUUAAAGGUCAUAGAAGCAUGGAAUCCUAGAAUGGGUUGGCCUGGAAGGGAUCUUAAAGGUCACAGAAUGAUGGAAUCCUGUAUGGGUCGGGUUGGAAGGGAUCUUAAAGGUCACAAAAGCAUGGAAUCCUGUAUGGUUUGGGUUGGAAGGGAUCUUAAAGGUCACAGAAGCAUGGAAUCCUAGAAUGGGUUGGGUUGGAAGGGAUCUUAGAGGUCAUAGAAGCGUGGAAUCCUAGAAUGGGUUGGGUUGGAAGGGAUCUUAGAGGUCAUAGAAGCGUGGAAUCCUGUAUGGGUUGGGUUGGAAGGGAUCUUAAAGGUCAUAGAAGCAUGGAAUCCAAGAAUGGGUUGGGUUGGAAGGGAUCUUAGAAGUCAUAGAAUGAUGGAAUCCUAGAAUGGGUUGGGCUGGAAGGGAUCUUAAAGGUCAUAGAAGCAUGGAAUCCUAGAAUGGGUUGGGCUGGAAGGGAUCUUAAAGGUCAUAGAAGCAUGGAAUCCUAGAAUGGGUUGGGCUGGAAGGGAUCUUAAAGGUCACAGAAUGGUGGAAUCCUAGAAUGGGUUGGGUUGGAAGGGAUCUUAAAGGUCACAGAAGCAAGGAAUCCUAGAAUGGGUUGGGUUGGAAGGGAUCUUAAAGGUCAUAGAAGCAUGGAAUCCUAGAAUGCGUUGGGUUGGAAGGGAUCUUAAAGGUCAUGGAAUGAUGGAAUCCUAGAUUGGGUUGGGUUGGAAGGGAUCUUAAAGGUCAUAGAACCUUGGAAUCUUAGAAUGGGUUGGGUUGGAAGGGAUCUUAGAGGUCACAGAAGCAUGGUAUCCUAGAAUGGGUUGGGCUGGAAGGGAUCUUAAAGGUCACAGAAUGAUGGAAUCCUGUAUGGGUCAGGUUGGAAGGGAUCUUAAAGGUCACAGAACCACGGAACGGGUUGGGUUGGAAGGGAUCUUACAGGCCAUAGAGGCAUGG